GACGAACGCUGGCGGCGUGCCUAACACAUGCAAGUCGAACGGAAAGGCCCUGCUUUUGUGGGGUGCUCGAGUCGCGAACGGGUGAGUAACACGUGAGUAACCUGCCCUUGACUUUGUGAUAACUUCAGGAAACUGGGGCUAAUACCGGAUAGGUGCUCCUGCUGCUUGGUGGGGGUUGGAAAGUUUCGGCGGUUGGGGAUGGACUCGCGGGUUAUCAGCUUGUUGGUGGGGUAGUGGCUUACCAAGCCUUUGACGGGUAGCCGGCCUGAGAGGUUGAACGGCCACAUGGGGACUGAGGUACGGCCCAGACUCGUACGGUAGACAGCAGUGGGGAAUAUUGCACAAUGGGCGGAAGCCUGAUGCAGCAACGCCGCGUGCGGGAUGACGGCCUUCGGGUUGUAAACCGCUUUCGCCUGUGACGAAGCGUGAGUGACGGUAAUGGGUGAAGAAGCACCGGCUAACUACGUG
rnacentral:rRNA from 1 species